UUGAAGAAGAAAUUAUCAUACCGGCUUUGACAGUGUUAACGUGUUUUAUAAGCUAUUCACAGGUUCAACAAAACAAAUACAAUUGAUAAGAAUAGUCAUUGAAAGAAGCAACAACGACAUCUUCUAAAUACUGACAGACUCUUGACUAGAGAGGUAGAGAGGACAAAAAAAAAAGAAUCUGGCUGGUUUUGUCUUGUUUGUAGAUCAUUUCUUGCCGUUCACUUUUAUAAGUUAAACCAAGCUAUUAUAUAGUUCAUGAUAAUAGCAAAAAAAAAAAAAAAAAAAAAAAAAACACAGCAAAAAUAAAAA